rnacentral:rRNA from 1 species
AGAGUUUGAUCCUGGCUCAGGAUGAACGCUGACAGAAUGCUUAACACAUGCAAGUCAACUUGAAUUUGGGUUUUUAACUUAGAUUUGGGUGGCGGACGGGUGAGUAACGCGUAAAGAACUUGCCUCACAGCUAGGGACAACAUUUAGAAAUGAAUGCUAAUACCUGAUAUUAUGAUUUUAAGGCAUCUUAGAAUUAUGAAAGCUAUAAGCACUGUGAGAGAGCUUUGCGUCCCAUUAGCUAGUUGGAGAGGUAACAGCUCACCAAGGCGAUGAUGGGUAGCCGGCCUGAGAGGGUGAACGGCCACAAGGGGACUGAGACACGGCCCUUACUCCUACGGGAGGCAGCAGUGGGGAAUAUUGGACAAUGGACCGAGAGUCUGAUCCAGCAAUUCUGUGUGCACGAUGAAGUUUUUCGGAAUGUAAAGUGCUUUCAGUUGGGAAGAAAGAAAUGACGGUACCAACAGAAGAAGUGACGGCUAAAUACGUGCCAGCAGCCGCGGUAAUACGUAUGUCACGAGCGUUAUCCGGAUUUAUUGGGCGUAAAGCGCGUCUAGGUGGUUAUGUAAGUCUGAUGUGAAAAUGCAGGGCUCAACUCUGUAUUGCGUUGGAAACUGUAUAACUAGAGUACUGGAGAGGUAAGCGGAACUACAAGUGUAGAGGUGAAAUUCGUAGAUAUUUGUAGGAAUGCCGAUGGGGAAGCCAGCUUACUGGACAGAUACUGACGCUAAAGCGCGAAAGCGUGGGUAGCAAACAGGAUUAGAUACCCUGGUAGUCCACGCUGUAAACG